rnacentral:rRNA from 1 species
GACGAACGCUGGCGGCGUGCUUAACACAUGCAAGUCGAACGGAAAGGCCCUGCUUUUGUGGGGUGCUCGAGUGGCGAACGGGUGAGUAACACGUGAGUAACCUGCCCUUGACUUUGGGAUAACUUCAGGAAACUGGGGCUAAUACCGGAUAGGAGCUCCUGCUGCAUGGUGGGGGUUGGAAAGUUUCGGCGGUUGGGGAUGGACUCGCGGCUUAUCAGCUUGUUGGUGGGGUAGUGGCUUACCAAGGCUUUGACGGGUAGCCGGCCUGAGAGGGUGACCGGCCACAGGGGUAGGGGCACGCGGCGCAGGCGCGGGCGGGAGGCGGGCGGGGGAAAAAUGGGACGAGGGGCGGGCGGCCGGGGCCGCGAGGCGGCGGGCGGGUUGACGGGCUGCGGGGUGUACGCCGCCUCCGGGGGCGACGGGGGGUGAGGGAAGGUAAGGAGUAAAGAGGGUACGGCUCGGGAGGGGACAGAAGGGGCGGUAAUACGGGGAAGAGCACACGUCGGACC